GUGGGGUCGGUUUCUCACGAUUCGUGGAGGAUAUCCCGGAAGGCGCUCACGAAUUUCACGAGAUUUCUGCCAUUCAUAUUUCAGCUUUUGACACGUGGUUUUCCGAGCUGAAAAAAUCACUCGGCAGUGAGCAUAAGGGUUCUCAAAUGGCGGUGGGCGCAAGAGAGUUCCUUCAGACGCUUUGUCGCUUUGUGAACGAAGUGUGGAAUCAGCAGUGAAUGGACGAUCGUGUUUUCGAGGAGACUUAAAUAGUAAGACGGUGAGCCUUGAACCAGGGAUCCUCCAG